UGUUUUUUAUUCUCUGUAUAUUUAACCAAAAUAGUUAAAUAUUGAUCUAUAAUCAAGGCCUAGUUUGUUGUGAAAGUCACUGUCACAGUCCGGUGUUAAUUGCCUUAAUAUAAUUGUGUUUCCAGUAAAAUACUUUAUUAGAAUGUAAACUGAUAAAAUUAGUAAGUAUAUGUCAAAUUGUAGCACUAUAAAUUACAAUAAAAAUUCGGCAAAAUUACCAGUAGUUUUAACGACCUCCUGAAGACAAUGAUUAAAUACGUAAUUCUCGCCGCAGUUUUGACAUAUGUUUCAACUGCUCCUCCAUCUCCGCCCUCUCCACAUUAUCCGCCACCUCGUCCAGCAGUUCAUGGACCUACAAUUGUAGUUAAGCCUGUAGUGGUUCGGCCUGCAGUUGUCAGACCUCCACCUCCUCCAGUCGUCAAACCUGUAGUUGUAGCUGUAGCUCCUGUUAAGGUUGGACCUCCACAUCCACCACCACCACCACAUCAUCAUCAUCAUUAAUUUAAAUUAUUAUUGUGAAUAUUGAUUUGAAAAUGAAAUAAACAGUUAUGUUACGAUUAUG